rnacentral:rRNA from 1 species
GAUGAACGCUGGCGGCGUGCUUAACACAUGCAAGUCGAGCGAAGCACUUUUGCGGAUUUCUUCGGAUUGAAGCAACUGUGACUGAGCGGCGGACGGGUGAGUAACGCGUGGGUAACCUGCCUCAUACAGGGGGAUAACAGUUGGAAACGGCUGCUAAUACCGCAUAAGCGCACAGUACCGCAUGGUACCGUGUGAAAAACUCCGGUGGUAUGAGAUGGACCCGCGUCUGAUUAGCUAGUUGGUAAGGUAACGGCUUACCAAGGCGACGAUCAGUAGCCGACCUGAGAGGGUGACCGGCCACAUUGGGACUGAGACACGGCCCAA